UCAAUGGCCCUUACCCCAUGGUUAGCUGCUGGAGGCCCGUUACUAGCCUCUCAUUUUGAGCUGCAUGGUGUGCGGAGUUUGUUACCUGUAGAGAGUGAGACAGAUGAUUUGCAGGACCAUAUCAUUAUCUGUGGAUUUGGACGGGUUGGACAGAUCAUUACACAGCUUCUUUCAGAACGACUUAUUCCGUUUGUUGCUCUUGAUGUGAGAAGUGACCAAGUAGCUGUUAGUCGUGCACUUGAUCUUCCCGUGUAUUUUGGAGAUGCUGGUAGUUGAGAGGUGCUCCAUAAAGUUGGUGCUGAAAGAGCAUGUGCAGCAGCAAUAACUUUAGAUACCCCCGGUGCAAACUAUAGAACAGUUUGGGUAUUGAGCAAAUAUUUCCCUAAUGUCAAGACAUUUGUCCGUGCUCAUGACGUUGAUCAUGGCCUCAAUUUGGAAAAUGCAGGAGCAACAGCGGCUAAACUGCCCAUGUCAGAAAUAGCAGCAACUAUCAACGAGUUUAGGUCCUGCCAUCUUUCUGAGCUUACCUAGAGUUACAACAAUCAAAUACUGCAUGCAGCUCUCUGAAGCAAGUGGAAGCUCUCUCAGUUAUGGAUACUCUCGGAUCAUGAGUAAACCCAAAUCUCAACCCUCAAAUUCUUCAGAUGAUAAUCAAAUCACUGAAGGAACACUAGUCCCAUCACCCAAAGAUAAGGACUGAUAUAAUAAAAAUAAAAUAUAAAAUAAAAAGAGGAAAAGAAAAAAAAAAUCACAAAGAACUGUACAGCGGUUUACUUGAACCCUUUGGUAUAAAUUGUACAGAAAUAUAGUUGAAUUAGUGGCAGUAGCAGACACAUUUGUUGAUCAGUCACAUGGAAAUUUUUGUUCCAAUAAUUCUCCCUGCGUGGAAGGAGUGACUGUUCUUUUUCUUUCUUCAAUCGUAUUCCGAUCUGAUAAAUUUUGGUAGGCCCUCAUAAAACUAUCUAGAUGGACUUUCUUAUCUCACUAAUCACAUUGCAUUCCAUACUCUUGUACUUUCUUAGCUGUUAGUAUUGAUCAUGCUGUAUAAUGCAAAUGGUCAAAAUGAUAUGAUGCUACAUAUGGAGAAACUGUCUUUGUGAGAAAUUGUGUAGAUUCGUGGAUUGGCUGAUUGCAGAUGUUCA